ACUUCGUGCCUUAGGGUUUCUCUUCAAAAUCAUUAUAAAUUACUGCUUUCAGCCUCCACCUAUAACACAUCUCUUCACUUCUUAGCUCGAUCUGUUAGCUAAAUGAUCGUAAUAAGCCUCUGUACGAAAUGUUCAUCAAAAUUUCAAUCCUUAUUUGAUUUUCGUUAACAGUUUGUGACCCACAACCAGAAGCUGAACAGUUACAGCUUCUUUCGGUCAACAGAUAGUACCAACCUUAUGGCGCCUGACUGUUGUAAGGAACACAAUUAUGGGUUAGGCUUCCUUAUUGAUUGAAGAUGAUUCUUGACGAUUGGAUUUCUACAAAUGGACCUUAUGUUAAGGUAAUUUUGGUGUGUGAUGGGAGUUCUUGAUAUGAAAUGAGCUAGGAUUGGAAGGUAAUUAUAUUAUUAUUAGUAAGAAGCCAAAUAAGCCUGUAUGUCGACAAACCAAGAGAAAGAAUGACUAAAGAGAAACAUACACUAACAUCAAAAAAGAAAAAGAAUGAGAGAGAAACAUGGCAUCAAUUUGAUUAUUCUUCAUUGAUUGAUUAAUGAGGGUUACAUGCUCCUUGCCUCACUAAUAAUUAUCACUAUGGGAUCACUACUUAUUCAGUAUACAAGCUGUCCAAAAAAACUAAAAAGAGUUGAAUUUAAAUUAAAAGAAGGCCAAUUAGCAUGUUUUCAGCCGAAUAGCAUUCGAGAAAUGAGAGUUAAAUUGAAUUAUCGAAUGUUCUUUGCCUUUGGCCCUUGUAGCCACUAGCCACACAGGUUUCUCUCUCUCCAAUAAGCUACAUCGAACAUGAAGAAUGGCUACUAGCAAGACUGCCUGAUAAUGCACAUGACGGGAAGAUUUCGCACCUUUUGGUUCAGGGGAACUCAUAGCAAGACUGCCUGAUAAUGCAGGACCUUACUGGAGUUGGAUAUGACACAGAUUAACAAGGGAGCUCCAACUGUAUUCGCUAGAUACAUAUAUUGAAAAUGACUAGAUCCCAGAUGGUUUAGCUGAA